rnacentral:rRNA from 1 species
AGCAGCCGCCGCGGUAAUACGAAGGGUGCAAGCGUUACUCGGAAUUACUGGGCGUAAAGCGUGCGUAGGUGGUGGUUUAAGUCCGUUGUGAAAGCCCUGGGCUCAACCUGGGAAUUGCAGUGGAUACUGGAUCACUAGAGUGUGGUAGAGGAUAGUGGAAUUUCCGGUGUAGCAGUGAAAUGCGUAGAGAUCGGAAGGAACAUCCGUGGCGAAGGCGACUAUCUGGGCCAACACUGACACUGAGGCACGAAAGCGUGGGGAGCAAACAGGAUUAGAUACCCGUGUAGUCCCUGUCUCUUAUAC